rnacentral:rRNA from 1 species
GAAACUGCAGGUAAUACUCGAUGAGACCACAGCAUCAUAUGGUGCAGUGAUCAAAGGUGGGGACUCCUUCGGGAGCCUACCGGCCAUUGAGCGGCCCAUGUCCCAUCAGCUUGUUGGUGAGGUAACGGCUCACCAAGGCAACGACGGGUACCGGGACUGAGAGGUUGAUCCGGCGCAUUGGGACUGAGACACUGCCCAGACUUCUACGGGAGGCUGCAGUAACGAAUAUUCCGCAAUGGACGAAAGUCUGACGGAGCGACGCCGCGUGUGGGAAUAAGCCCUUCGGGGUGUAAACCACUGUCAGGGAUUACCAAGCAAACGGGGUUAAUACCUCCGCGCGUUGAGGAGUCCCAGAGGAAGCCACGGCUAACUUCGUGCCAGCAGCCGCGGUAAGACGAAGGUGGCAAGCGUUGUUCGGAAUCAUUGGGCUUAAAGAGCAUGUAGGCGGCCCAGUAAGCGUCCUGUGAAAUCCCUCGGCCCAACCGAGGAAUUGCGGGGCGAACUGCUGGACUUGAGGCAAGUAGGGGUGUGUGGAAACCCUUGGUGGAGCGGUGGAAUGCGUA